rnacentral:rRNA from 1 species
GACGAACGCUGGCGGCGUGCCUAAUACAUGCAAGUAGAACGCACAGUUUAUACCGUAGCUUGCUACACCAUAAACUGUGAGUUGCGAACGGGUGAGUAACGCGUAGGUAACCUGCCUGGUAGCGGGGGAUAACUAUUGGAAACGAUAGCUAAUACCGCAUAAUAUUGAUUAUUGCAUGAUAAUUGAUUGAAAGCUGCUAUUGCAUCACUACCAGAUGGACCUGCGUUGUAUUAGCUAGUAGGUGAGGUAACGGCUCACCUAGGCGACGAUACAUAGCCGACCUGAGAGGGUGAUCGGCCACACUGGGAAUGAGACACGGCCCAGAAUCCUACGGGAGGCAGCAGUAGGGAAUCUUCGGCAAUGGACGAAAGUCUGAACGAGCAACGCCGCGUGAGUGAAGAAGGUUUUCGGAUCGUAAAGCUCUGUUGUAAGAGAAGAAAGGGUGUGAGAGUGGAAAGUUCACACUGUGACGGUAUCUUACCAGAAAGGGACGGCUAACUACGUG